rnacentral:rRNA from 1 species
AAUCAACGCUGGCGGCGUGCCUCAGACAUGCAAGUCGAACGCGAAAGUUUCCUUCGGGAAACAAGUAGAGUGGCGCACGGGUGAGUAACACGUAGGUAAUCUACCUUCGGAUGGGGAAUAACAAUCGGAAACGGUUGCUAAUACCGCAUAAUGCAGCGGCACCUAAUGGUGACAGUUGUUAAAGCGGGGAUCGAAGACCUCGCGUCUGAAGAGGAGCCUGCGGCGGAUAGCUAGUUGGUAAGGUAAUGGCUUACCAAGGCUACGAUCCGUAACCGGCCUGAGAGGGCGGGUCGGUCACACUGACACUGACAUACGGGUCAGACUCCUACGGGGAGGCAGCAGUCGGGAAGUUUUGGGCAAUGGGCGAAAGCCUGA